UACGUAGGGUGCGAGCGUUUGUCCGGAAUUAUUGGGCGUAAAGCGCACGUAGGCGGCAUUGCAAGUCGGAUGUGAAAUCCCUCGGCUUAACCAAGGAAGUGCAUCCGAAACUGCAGUGCUUGAGUACUUAAGAGGAUCGCGGAAUUCCCGGUGUAGAGGUGAAAUUCGUAGAUAUCGGGAGGAACACCAGUGGCGAAGGCGGCGAUCUGGGAAGAUACUGACGCUGAGGUGCGAAAGCGUGGGGAGCAAACAGG
rnacentral:rRNA from 1 species